UAAAACGCCAUUUGCUAUCUAUAUUAACUAAGCAUUUACAUUUCGUGCAGUUGCAUCGAUUAUCUGAUCGUCGGAACAAUGUUUUUAAAGUGAAAGAAAAAUUCUACUAUUUGUAUCAUUUAUGUUUAAUAUUAGACGAUGUGAUGAUUUACCUCUUGUAUGUACUUACUCUGCUACAUCUCGAAUAUCUUUUUGGAAAGUUACUGAAUCAAUCACAUAGACAAGUCCUUUUGCGGAUAAUUUGAAUUGAUCAAAAAAUUUAUAACGCAGACGUUCAUGUCCAGGUAUAUCAACAAUUUUCAGAGAACGCUAAAUACACCAACAACUUUAGAAACCUAUGUUUUUGAUGUAUGUGUUUUAACAAAUUUGGAACAAAGUAGAUGUGCAUAUAUCAAUGUUUUACCAGCAUCACUAAGACCAGUUAACAAUAUACUAUUUCCUAUAGAUCUUCUUUUAUGCCAUAUGGCAAAUAAUACUAUGUAAAAAAAAUGAACAGAAAUUUAUAAAAAAGCUAUAUUUAUAAUGUUUAUUAAUUACUGUGGCUAUAAUGAUAUACAUUUUUUUUAAAAAAAUAAAUGUGGUAUUUAUAGAAUGUUACAACUGAAA